GUCUUUUUGUUAAUAAUUUAAAGUCUAAUCUGCCCACUGAUAUAUUUAUUAAAGGGCUGCAGUAUUUUGACUGUACAAAGGUAGCAUAAUCAUUAGUCUUUUAAUUGGUGACUUGUAUGAAGGAUUGGAUGAAAUAUAAACUGUCUCUUUUAUAAAAAAAAAAUUGAAUUUAAUUUUUUAAUUAAAAAGUUAAAAUUAUUUAAAAAGACGAGAAGACCCUAUAGAGUUUUAUAAUUUAUUUUGUAAAUAUUUUUAUUUUUAUAUUUUUAUAAUUUUAAAUUAUUUUGUUGGGGUGAUAAAAAAAUUUAAUUAACUUUUUUUAAUAGUUUACAUUAAUAAGUGAUUAAAUGAUCCAAUUUUAUUGAUUAAAAGAAAAAAUUACCUUAGGGAUAACAGCGUAAUUUUUUUUUUUAGUUCAAAUAAAAAGAAAAGUUUGCGACCUCGAUGUUGGAUUAAGAUAAAAUUUAAAUGUAGAAGUUUAAAAUUUUGAUCUGUUCGAUCAUUAAAAUCUU
rnacentral:rRNA from 1 species